GGAAGCUUAGCUCAGCGGGAGAGCAUUCCCUUCACAGGGGAGGGGCCAUGGGUUCGAACCCCAUAGUUUCCACCA
rnacentral:tRNA from 1 species